rnacentral:rRNA from 1 species
CCUACGGGUGGCAGCAGUGAGGAAUAUUGGUCAAUGGACUCACGUCUGAACCAGCCAUGCCGCGUGCAGGAAGACGGCUCUAUGAGUUGUAAACUGCUUUUGUCCGAGGGUAAAUCCCGAUACGUGUAUCGGGUUGAAAGUAUCGUACGAAUAAGGAUCGGCUAAAUCCGUUCCAGCAGCCGCGGUAAUACGGAGGAUUCAAGCGUUAUCCGGAUUUAUUUGGUUUAAAGGGUUCGUAGGCGGUUCGCUAAGUUAGACGUGAAAUCCCGGGGCUCAACUCCUGCACUGCCUCUGAUACUGGCGGGCUAGAGUGUAGUUGCGGGAGGCGGAAUGUAUGGUGUAGCGGUGAAAUGCAUAGAGAUCAUACAGAACACCGAUUGCGAAGGCAGCUGACCAAACUACGACUGACGUUGAGGCACGAAAGCGUGGGGAGCAAACAGGAUUAGAUACCCUUGUAGUC